AUUGAACGCUGGCGGCAGGCCUAACACAUGCAAGUCGAACGGAGUGUCGGACGGGUGAGUAAUGUCUGGGAAACUGCCCGAUGGAGGGGGAUAACUACUGGAAACGGUAGCUAAUACCGCAUACUAUCAGAUGAGCCUAGGUCGGAUUAGCUAGUUGGUGGGGUAAAGGCCUACCAAGGCGACGAUCCGGAACUGGUCUGAGAGGAUGAUCAGUAACACUGGAACUGAGACACGGCCCAGACUCCUACGGGAGGCAGCAGUGGGGAAUAUUGGACAAUGGGCGAAAGCCGGAUCCAGCCAUGCCGCGUGGGUGAAGAAGGUCUUCGGAUUGUAAAGCACGUUAAGUUGGGAGGCGUUACCAACAGAAUAAGCACCGGCUAACUUCGUGCCAGCAGCCGCGGUAAUAC
rnacentral:rRNA from 1 species